UACGUAGGGCGCAAGCGUUGUCCGGAAUCACUGGGCGUAAAGCGCACGUAGGCGGACUCUUAAGUCAGGGGUGAAAUCCUGGAGCUCAACUCCAGAACUGCCUUUGAUACUGGGAGCCUUGAGUUCGGGAGAGGUGAGUGGAACUGCGAGUGUAGAGGUGAAAUUCGUAGAUAUUCGCAAGAACACCAGUGGCGAAGGCGGCUCACUGGCCCGAUACUGACGCUGAGGUGCGAAAGCGUGGGGAGCAAACAGG
rnacentral:rRNA from 1 species